rnacentral:sRNA from 1 species
CGCAGCCGCGGUAAUUCCAGCUCCAAUAGCGUAUAUUAAAGUUGUUGCAGUUAAAAAAGCUCGUAGUUGAAUUUCGGGGUCAGUAGGUCGGUCGUGCCACAGGUAUGCACUGGUCUCACUGAUUCCUCCUUCCUGAUGAACCGGAAUGCCAUUAAUUUGGUGUUGCGGGGAGACUGGACUGUUACUUUGAAAAAUUAGAGUGUUUAAAGCAGGCAUGCGCUUGAAUACAUUAGCAUGGAAUAAUGAAAUAGGACGUUUGAUCCUAUUUUGUUGGUUUCUAGGAUUGACGUAAUGAUUAAUAGGGAUAGUUGGGGGCAUUAGUAUUCAAUUGUCAGAGGUGAAAUUCUUGGAUUUAUUGAAGACUAACUACUGCGAAAGCAUUUGCCAAGGAUGUUUUCAUUAAUCAAGAACGAAAGUUAGGGGAUCGAAGACGAUCAGAUACCGUCGUAGUCUUAACCAUAAACUAUGCCGACUAGGGAUCGGAUGAUGUUAAUUUUUAAUGUACUCAU